GGACGAACGCUGGCGGCGUGCUUAACACAUGCAAGUCGAGCGGUAAGGCCCUUUCGGGGGUACGACGAGCGGCGAACGGGUGAGUAACACGUGGGUGACCUGCCCUCAGCUCUGGGAUAAGCCUGGGAAACCGGGUCUAAUACUGGAUAUGACUCCAUGACGCAUGUUGGUGGGGUGGAAAGCCUUGUGCGGCUGAGGAUGGGCCCGCGGCCUAUCAGCUUUGUUGGGUGGGGGUGA
rnacentral:rRNA from 1 species